rnacentral:tRNA from 1 species
AAGGAUUUAAGUUAUUUAAACUAUUAACCUUCAAAGUUAAAAAUAAAGGUUUCUUUAAGCCUUA